UUUCACCUCUACAACAAAAUCACCUUCUUCACUUCCUUACCGUAACAUAACCUUCAUACUCUUAUCUCCCUUUACCAUAAAAUUUCAACAAACAUAAACAACAUCUCAAGCUUCAAACUCCUUCAAAAAUCAUCACCAUCAAUCAUGACUUCCACCUUAAACACUCCCCCUUACGUCAUAUUCACAUAUUCCCCCGCUUCAACACAGUAACAAGUCCACCACCUUCAUUUCAUACCUUCACGUAACCACCCUACCUACAUCCACCAAUCUUCUUUCACGUUACCUUCACGUUGGCACUGCCAUAUCAUCUUUCUUUCACUCAUAAGCAUCCAACUCAAAUACUUCAACAGAGCCACCGUUGUGCACUCUUAAACCACCGCGCCGAUGAGCUACAACUUCAAGCACACCAUAUUACCUCCACCAUGUACCCCACUAUACACCAUAACAUCUUCCGUUAACGACAAGGCUCCUGCGAACCUCCACACCGGUAAAGAAACAGCCACCACGGAACAAUCAUAAACAUCCUUCAACAAUACCAACAUCAUCCUCAAACCACAUAACACAACCAAACACACUCAAUUUUCCUACAACAAGAAUCUCACCGCGAGAACCAUCGCCACUGAACCUCACGGGCAACGAUCCUCUAACCUCCGACGACUCCAAAUCAAAACUCUCUCCGUUAA
rnacentral:lncRNA from 1 species